rnacentral:tRNA from 1 species
GGGAGUACGCCGGAGUUGGAGAGUCGGGACGGACUGUAAAUCCGUUGCUUUUGCUGAGUUGGUUCGAUUCCAUCUACUCCCACCA